GAGUCUGUUGUAACGGCUGAGCCGAGUCAAACGAUCUGACUCACAGAAAAGCGGAAAGAGGAACUGCUUAUAGCGCGGCAGGGGAAGAGGGAAAUUUAAACCUGUAGGUAUUACCAGUGUCAAAACCAGCUGUAAGCGGGACGAUCCCAAAUAGUCCACUGCUUCCUGUACACGUACACUACAUAGCCCCGAUAAGCCAUUAUGUCUGACCCUAUCUAGUGCACUUGUAUCAUAGAUCCGACGCCAUUCGUAAUUCAGCAGAAGUAGGACGUCUCAACCAGGAGUACACUGCAGUGUAAUGUAGCUGAUACACGGCGCAAAUAAUCGCUAAUGGACCGUUUACGAGAUUCGUCCUUGUGUCUGGACUCUCCUUCUAAACACAGUUAUAUUGGAAGCUUUUACGCUCCUCCGGGCAGCACCUCACACAACACCUGACACAGGGAGCAGAGGUGAAUAACCUGAUAGGAACCAAUGUGAUGUGUACAAACAUGUAACUUAUAGGUUAUAGCUUUGUGUGUGUCCUUUUGUGUACUUGUUCUCUUCAUCUUUUGUGAUUUCCUGCCUGUGUGAUUAGAAACACUGCAAGACCUGAAGAAUGAAUCAUCUGAAAUGGUUCAUAUUCCUGUCUGUUUUUCUAUAUUUACAUUUAUACUUAUCCAUCCAUCCAUCGUGUUCUUCAAUCCUUGUCACAUUCAGAUUUAAAAUAAAAUUGAAGUAAUACUGA